rnacentral:rRNA from 1 species
AACAUUUAGGAAUCUGCCUAGUAGUGGGGGAUAGCUCGGGGAAACUCGAAUUAAUACCGCAUACGACCUACGGGUGAAAGGGGGCGCAAGCUCUUGCUAUUAGAUGAGCCUAAAUCAGAUUAGCUAGUUGGUGGGGUAAAGGCCCACCAAGGCGACGAUCUGUAACUGGUCUGAGAGGAUGAUCAGUCACACCGGAACUGAGACACGGUCCGGACUCCUACGGGAGGCAGCAGUGGGGAAUAUUGGACAAUGGGGGCAACCCUGAUCCAGCCAUGCCGCGUGUGUGAAGAAGGCCUUUUGGUUGUAAAGCACUUUAAGCAGGGAGGAGAGGCUAAUGGUUAAUACCCAUUAGAUUAGACGUUACCUGCAGAAUAAGCACCGGCUAACUCUGUGCCAGCAGCCGCGGUAAUACAGAGGGUGCGAGCGUUAAUCGGAAUUACUGGGCGUAAAGCGAGUGUAGGUGGCUCAUUAAGUCACAUGUGAAAUCCCCGGGCUUAACCUGGGAACUGCAUGUGAUACUGGUGGUGCUAGAAUAUGUGAGAGGGAAGUAGAAUUCCAGGUGUAGCGGUGAAAU